rnacentral:lncRNA from 1 species
GCUACGGCUGCGGCUAUGGCAGCUGCAGCUGUGGCAGGGAAAGAGGAAGAGGAAGGAAGAAGGGAAGGAGAGGAAGAAGAGAAGGGGAAGAAGGGGCUGCGGCUGCGGCGAUGGCAGCUGCAGUUGGAAGAGAAGAAGGAGAGGAGCAGGGGAGGAAGAAGAGGCUGCGGCCGUGGCUGAGGCUACGACUACAGUAGUGCAGCUGGGAAAGAAGAGAAGGAAAGGAAGAAGAAGAGAAAGGAAAAGGGAAGAAGAUAGGAAGAGGAGAAGGGGAGGCAGCUGCGGCAGUGGCAGCUACAACUGGAAGAGAAGGAGAGGAAAUAGAGUAGAGGAGGAAGAAGAGGCUACG